AUUCCCCAAUACUACCCAUCUCUUUGUAGUUCCAUUAGAGAGAAGAAACCUUAUCUCUUUCAACAACACUGAUCUAUGUACAGGCAGAUCUCAUCUGUUUCUUCUCAUGUUUUUUUUUCUCUUAGCUCUCUUUCUUUUCAUGGUUUUUUCUCUUAGCAAAAUCUGGGAUCUCCCUUUUUUUUACUUCAAUCUAGGGUUUUAUUUUUCUUCAAUCCGUAUCUUCACUAUCCAUCUCGGUUGAUCUGAAAUUUUCUGUUUUGUUUUUGUGUACAGAAAACGAUCUUUAAAGAUCUCUCUCUUUGAUCUCCAUUUGCAGCUCCAUGAAUCUCUGGGAUUUUUCUGUCAGGAAAAAAAUUGCGGUCCUGAGUUAGCAGAUUGGGUUUUUGAUGGUGGUCCGAAGAUUCCCAAAAUGGGAUUUCUUACAAGGAGGUUGCAAGGUUCCAGAACUUAGAGAAGGUUCAUGGAUAUGAUGGAAUAUGGAAGGUUUGUCUUGUGAAAAUUUGAAUUAGAAUUCUCACAAACAAACAAAAAUAGCAUACUAUUUGUUAUGCAAAAAUUUUGCAGAUGCGUACAUGACGAGCAAUUGAUGGAUGUGCCAUUUUUGGUAUACAAUUAGUUGCAAUAAUACAGCAGGCCAUGUCGUCGACUUCUUUUCACGCAAAGCAUCCGGUGAUCUAAUCAUUUGCAAUUGCUUGCCAUCAGCCAGUAAAUCAUAUACAUGCAGUGGGUGAUUGUGGUUCCUAUAUAUGUCCAACUAUCCCACUCUGGUAUUGCUGGGUAGCAAGUCACUGUAGCUAAAGCUUGGUGAAGAGCAAUAAGAAGCAUGGGGUUCAUGUUACUGCAAUGGAUACUAAUUCUGAAAAAUUUAGGGAACUAUAAGAUAUCAUUGGGAAAAUAUUGUUGAAGUUUUACCUGUUAGCUAUUUUGCUUGAAGUUCUAUUUGUUUUACUUCUUAAUGAUGAAUGAUUACUGAUUGUUUGUGGAACAAGUCAGAGAGUAAAAAGGGUACUAUGGAGUUACUGAUAACAGCUUUAAUUAAGAUCCUUUCGGUGUAUACUGGCCACUCCUACAAUAAAUCAAGUAUGUUUUUUAGUUGCUUAUUUUGUCGUUCUCUCUAUCUAAAUAUAUCUUGUCUGUUUCGAAUAAAUGACAUAUAUUUUUAGAUUGAGAUUGUCGAAAGAUAUACAGGAGAGUGUUUUAAAGGCAUUUUCCAUCCAGAGAUUUGGAAGCUUGAGUUUGCUAUUUAGUGGAUAACGGACUGAUUAUCCUCUAAUUCCAAGGUACAAAAUUUCAGCUUGGAUUGAUUGUUGAGAACAACAAAGCUCGAUAGGAGGUUGUCUUGUGAGCAACUAGCUUAAUAUGUUCAGUGGUGGUUGCUCUGGAUGCAAUACUGGCCUGUAAAACUUUUCUACUGAUUCAGAUGAUCACCGAUUUCACUAUCUCCAACGUCAAUCUUCAGUUGAGGAUAAAUUGAACUGGACAUCAUCAUUUCUUGAGCUAUCAAUAACGACGGCAAAUGUGGUAAAUUGGUAAUGUUAUACCACUUAACAACAGAAAUAUCCAGCCUAAGAAAUAUUAAAGCUUCUCAGAAAACACACCCAUUAUGCAAAAGGAAUCACAAGGUAUAAUCAUCUUUUGACUAUGAGGGUUGAGUUCUAUGCAAGAGUGUGUUUUUUCCAGUUUUCUGUCUUGUUUAAGAAGUGUUGCUGGUUGACUUUUCCGUGUGGGUGUCUUCGUGUGAAGGAUCCAUUUGUCUUGUAAGGUAGUGAUGCUAAUUACUUGUAUAUUUGUAGCAUUUUUUACAACUUUGUACAAGCGAGCUUGUAAAAAUAUAUUUAUUUAAAUCGAUAUAUUCCUCUA